AGAGUUUGAUCAUGGCUCAGAAUGAACGCUGGCGGCGUGCUUAACACAUGCAAGUCGCACGAGAACGCUUCAGCUUGCUGAAGCUAGUAAAGUGGCGUACGGGUGAGUAACGCGUGGGUAAUCUAUCUCUGAAUUGGGGAUAACGUUGCGAAAGCGACGCUAAUACCGGAUAAUAUCUCCUUGACUUUGGUUUUGGGGAUCAAAGGUGGCCUCUACAUGUAAGCUACUGUUUGGAGAUGAGCCCGCGUCCCAUUAGCUUGUUGGCGGGGUAACGGCCCACCAAGGCUUCGAUGGGUAGCUGGUCUGAGAGGAUGAUCAGCCACACUGGAACUGGAACACGGUCCAGACUCCUACGGGAGGCAGCAGUGAGGAAUUUUGCGCAAUGGGGGAAACCCUGACGCAGCAACGCCGCGUGAGUGAUGAAGGCUUUCGGGUCGUAAAGCUCUGUCAAGUGGGAAGAACCGCCGAGGGGUUAAUACCCUCUUGGUCUGACGGUACCACUGAAGGAAGCACCGGCUAACUCCGUGCCAGCAGCCGCGGUAAUACGGGGGGCGCGAGCGUUAUUCGGAUUUACUGGGCGUAAAGCGCGCGUAGGCGGCCGUUUAAGUCAGAUGUGAAAGCCCGGGGCUCAACCCCGGAAGUGCAUUUGAUACUAUUCGGCUUGAGUAUGGGAGAGGGAAGUGGAAUUCCUGGUGUAGAGGUGAAAUUCGUAGAUAUCAGGAGGAACACCGGUGGCGAAGGC
rnacentral:rRNA from 1 species